rfam:Lepisosteus oculatus linkage group LG7, whole genome shotgun sequence.
AACUGUUUUCAUAUCACCCUGCAACUCACAACUGGCAACCCACUGAAGCUAAGCAGGUGUGAGCCUGGUCAGUACCUGGAUGGGAGACCUCCUGGGAAAAACUAAGGUUGUUGCUGGAA